rnacentral:misc_RNA from 1 species
UCAUUGUCAACCCUCAAGCCUUGCUUGCUGUUGGACCCCUCGACGAAAGUCGAUGGCCCCAAAGAUAACGACGGUGUUGUGGCAACCCCCAGAUGCAAUGAGCUUUAACAUGCACGCGUCGCGGUGGUAUCACAACCCAGUCUUUAAACAAUUAUUCCAAGGUUGACCUCGGAUCAGGUAGGAAUACCCGCUGAACUUAA